AAUUUCUAACAUUUAGCCACGGAUUCUGCUGGCCGUGGCUAAUCCCGUGGCUGUUUCCCUGUUUUCUUGUAGUGUUGAAAAGUCAGUGGCGUGAAGCUACCGUGUGUUGGAUUAUGCCUGAACGCCUCUAAGUCAGAAUCCAAGCUAGUAAUGUGGCACAAUUGCCCUUUUUCCAAGUGCCGUCUUAAAGUAGGUUUGCUUUGUGCUCUCUUGGGCUCAUGUCAUUGGUUAAGUUAGCCCAUCAGAUGCGUUGGGUUAGUCACCUUGUAAAGUUAAUACGAUUGGAAUUUGGGUUGAAUCUUUUGCAAACGACUUAAAUACGUGAUUAGGUAUUGUAAGUGGCAGAGUGGCCUAACUGCCACGAUCCACUGAGAUUCAGCCUUUUUCACAAGGAUUC
rnacentral:ncRNA from 1 species